AUUGAACGCUGGCGGCAGGCUUAACACAUGCAAGUCGAACGAGUGGCGCACGGGUGUGUAUUAUCUGGGAAACUGCCCCAUGGCGGGGGAUAACUACUGGAAACGGUAGCUAAUACCGCAUACCCUCUGAUGUGCCCAGAUGUGAUUAGCUAGUAGGUGGGGUAACGGCUCACCUAGGCGCCGAUCCCUAGCUGGUCUGAGAGGAUGACCAGCCACACUGGAACUGGGACACGGUCCAGACUCCUACGGGAGGCAGCAGUGGGGAAUAUUGCACAAUGGGCGCAAGCCUGAUGCAGCCAGGCCGCGUGUGUGAAGAAGGCCUUCGGGUUGUAAAGGACUUUCAGCGAGGAGGCGGUACUCGCAGAAGAAGCACCGGCUAACUCCGUGCCAGCAGCCGCGGUAAUAC
rnacentral:rRNA from 1 species